rnacentral:sRNA from 1 species
UCAGCCUAGACGCUUUAAUAUGUGUUACUGGAAACCUUUCUCUGCCUGUACUUUAUAGGUGGGGGGCAUUUACUCCGUAUAUGGCCGUUUUGGCUAAACUUUAAUUUUUGAUCUGCGAGAAAUGUUAGUAUGUCUGAUACAGUAACUGGUAAAGUAAAAUUUUUUAACGAAUCUAAAGGCUUCGGUUUCAUCGAGCAAGAAAACGGCGCUGACGUUUUUGUUCACUUUAGUGCAAUCUCUGGUGACGGUUUCCGUACUUUGACUGAUGGUCAAGCCGUAACUUUCAGCGUAAAACAAGGCCAAAAAGGUCCUGAAGCUGAAAACGUAGUUGCAUCUUAAUCUAAAGUGCAAA